UGAAUUUCACAUAAAAGCCUUUUUAAUCAAUCAAAUGAGUAUUUAGAAAAUAAAAUAAAAUAAGAUAAGGUGCUCCCGCACUCAGUGUGACAUGCCUUGAUUGAUUACACUGUAGAUGGGUGAGGGGUGUUACAGAACAAUAAAGAAUAAAAAAAUGAGAUAAAAUUGGAAAUUACAUAUAAAUAUUUGAUCCUUUCUUUGCAGCCAAUCAACAUGCACAACCUCCUCUUUGUUCGACUUCUGAAACAGUUUCUGAUAUACCCUCGAAAUAACUGUAAGAAAUGUCAAGUUCAUGUUCACUAACUAGUGCAAUUUUUGCAACACAUAGAAAUGCUUCAUCAAUAUUGUAAUCCUCUUUUGCUGAGGUCUCAAAGUAAGGUAUGUUUCCCUUGGAAGCACACCAAUCUAAAGCUUUUCUCUCUGAAACCUACAUAGAAUAUUGCUUAAUUUAGUGUGCAUUCUAUCCAUAUUAACAUUGAAUAUGCAUUUAAUUGCAUUUCUACCGCUCGAUUAUUUCCACCAUCUACAUCAAUCUUAUUUCCGAGUAGCAUAAAAGGGAACUUAUCAGGAUCAACUGGAUCUGCCUGCCAUAGAGCAUAUAUGUAUAUGAGUAUGGUGAAAGAAAGCUAGCAUAUAUCAAUUCUUUUUUUUUUUUAGCUAAAUACAUAAGUUCACCCUCAAACUUUACAAAAAAAAAAGCCUUCUGAUACCCUGAACUUUCAAACCAUCUCAUCUCACACCUUAUCUUUGAAAACCUAGAAUUAAGUAAACCAUGCAAUCCUAGUCAGCAGAGAAUGUAAACGAACAUGCGGAGAAGAGAUUGAAAGUUAAACAAAUGCCGACAUGGAAAAUAAAAAAUCCAAAAAACUAAAUUUGUUAAAUUAAAUCCAAUUAGGUUAAUUUUCUCACUCAUCUUCAACCAUUAAGCACCAAUCAUCUGCCACAACACAAGACAAUAGCAAUACAUAAAUCAAUUUUUCUCUCACUGCUCUACAAAAUGAGCAGAAUUAGAAUCAUCUCCUUCAUAAACCAAAAUAAAAGAGUAUAUCCAUAAAAAAUUUAGCUUUAAAAUAUCAAAUUUCACAGCCUCAAAACAUUUCUCAAAAUCAUAAAAGGCUAAAACAAGUAGAAUUAUCUCCUUUUGGAACCUGGCAUAAACACCAUGACCAUCGAAAUUCUUGGGCUUGAAGUGCCUAGGAUAAGUCACAAGCAUAGUCAUAUCGUACUUGACCAAAAUGUCUCUGAUCUCCUUCUUGCUUUGUUUGGCCAUAUAUUUCUGAUAGAAGGCAAUAACGUCUUAGGCGUUAUUAUGGCAAAUGGUGUAGAUCUCAAAGUUGUGGUCGUCGCCCUUAACGUGAAUGUGCAUGUUGAUGCCAGCAAUUGUGAAUGGAAUUUCAAGCUAGUGGAAUCUUGAUGCAACAAUAGUCAGAAUUUCAAGCUAGUGGACCACCACCCAAGAAGAGUCGUGACACUGUUUGAGGAACUCUUCAUGCCAAUUGUUAAGUAUUUCAAAUGAUUUAAGUACAUUCACAUCAUAUACUAGAACACAGCAAUCUGCUCCUCUAUAAAAUGCUGCUCCUAAACUCUGAAAUCUCUCCUGACCUGCUGUAUCCCAUAUUUGCAGGGUCACCAGCUUGUCAUCAACCUGUAGUUCCUUGGUGACAAAAUCAGCACCGAUUGUAGCUUUGUACUGUUGGCUAAACUUCUUAUAUACAUAUCUGAAUAAGCAGUUAAAGAUAGACAAAUGCAUGGCCAAGGACAUGGAUUCUGAAGCCAGCAAACUCAAACGCUGUGUGUAAAAUCUUGCAUUGGAGGGGGAAAAUGUAAUUGAGAUGGACUAAUAAAUAAAAAAAAUAAAUUCAUUGAAAAAGAAAAUAAAUGAGGCAAAUACUACUAGACAGAAAUUUUGUAGACGAGGCACUAUUUAAGAGGCGUUAAAAAAUUGCAAGAGUAUUUUUUAAGACCGUAAGAUCUCAAGUUCGAUUCAACCGUACAAAAAAAAUAAUAGCAUAGCAGGAGCACUUCUCAUGAAGGAAAUAGAAAUAGCAUCAAAGAAAAAGAACAUAACUAGAAAGAAGUGGAAACAUGAGUAAAAGAGUAAUAAACUAUUAAUUCAGAGAUCUUAUUAUUAAUUUAUUAUCAUCAUCAUCAUGAUGCAAUGGAUACUGAUUCAUCAAGGAGGUCUUUCCCACCCUUAAAACAUCAGGAAACAAAACCAAAAGGAAAAAAAUAAGUAAAGAAGAAUUUCUCGAGAACCAGACAGAAAAAAAAAAACAAAUAAUCAAACACUAGAAACCAACAUGUGAAAAACAACAAACAAGAAGAAAAACGCAAGGGAGUACAUGAUUUGCAUACCCACUAUCACCCAGAACAAUGACCUUAAGCAAAGCUCUUCUCUUGGUGGUGGAAAGGUCCAUGAUGACAAAGAAAAACUCUUAUAAUCAGAGAAGAAAAGCAGCUUAAUUUUACUAUUAAGUAUCUAUAUAUUUAAUAAUAUACUAAUUUCUUGCAAUCUAAGACGGUAAUAGGAAUCUGAAAAGAAGUUGAUGAACAGGAAAGUAUGGAAAAGGAAAGAGAAAGACCACAAAC
rnacentral:misc_RNA from 1 species